rnacentral:rRNA from 1 species
CGAACGCUGGCGGCGUGCCUAAUACAUGCAAGUAGAACGCUGAAGAGAGGAGCUUGCUCUUCUUGGAUGAGUUGCGAACGGGUGAGUAACGCGUAGGUAACCUGCCUUGUAGCGGGGGAUAACUAUUGGAAACGAUAGCUAAUACCGCAUAACAAUGGAUGACACAUGUCAUUUAUUUGAAAGGGGCAAUUGCUCCACUACAAGAUGGACCUGCGUUGUAUUAGCUAGUAGGUGAGGUAACGGCUCACCUAGGCGACGAUACAUAGCCGACCUGAGAGGGUGAUCGGCCACACUGGGACUGAGACACGGCCCAGACUCCUACGGGAGGCAGCAGUAGGGAAUCUUCGGCAAUGGGGGCAACCCUGACCGAGCAACGCCGCGUGAGUGAAGAAGGUUUUCGGAUCGUAAAGCUCUGUUGUAAGUCAAGAACGAGUGUGAGAGUGGAAAAUUCACACUGUGACGGUAGCUUACCAGAAAGGGACGGCUAACUACGUGCCAGCAGCCGCGGUAAUACGUAGGUCCCGAGCGUUGUCCGGAUUUAUUGGGCGUAAAGCGAGCGCAGGCGGUUUGAUAAGUCUGAAGUUAAAGGCUGUGGCUCAACCAUAGUUCGCUUUGGAAACUGUCAAACUUGAGUGCAGAAGGGGAGAGUGGAAUUCCAUGUGUAGCGGUGAAAUGCGUAGAUAUAUGGAGGAACACCGGUGGCGAAAGCGGCUCUCUGGUCUGUAACUGACGCUGAGGCUCGAAAGCGUGGGAGCGAACAGG